UUUGGGGGGAGGCAGAGGAACAAGAGGGAAGAAGUUGAGACCAGGGUUAGGUGAAGAAGCAGCAAAAAAAAAACACAAAAAAAAAAACACGGAGGUGGAGGAGAAAAGAGGGAGGCAAAGAAGGAUGAGCUCAGUGAAAAAAAAGCAGAAGGACAGGGGGUUGGGGGCGAGGAAGGAAGAAAGAAGGAAAGGCAGGAAGGGGGGGGCGAAGGGGAGGGAGGGGUAGGGAGGAAAGGAGGAGGGGAAGGGGGAGAGAGGAAGGAAGGAGGCAGAGGCAGUAAAAAGGAUAUUGAGGAAGUGGAGAUAAAAGCCAAAAGGAGGGAGUGAUUACGGGAACGGUGGCAGAGAUAAAGAAAAAAAGAUGAAGGAGGAGGCAGAGUCAGAACGGGAGAGGAGCUACAAAUUUAACUGGACUACAUGACAGGAAUAGAUCUAGAUGCAAUGGAACACUAACUGACUACCUCACUGACUUUUUAUCAAUAUUGAAUCAAGCUGCCAUCUGCACUGCAUGCAGCAGCUGUAUGUUCGUCUCUCGUGGCUGACUUGUGAGAGCAGCUAGGCCGGGGCGGGCAGCAGUGCAGCCUGGGUCACGAGGUCAUGGCUGCGGUAUGCUCUCUCCAGGGCCGGAGAGAGGUGCUGCUCUGCCAAAACCCCUCCGAGAUCCGGUCUGCCGGCCUCAGCCAUCUGCACAGAGCCCAGAGGAGGAAGCAACAAGGGGAGCAGAAGGGAGGAGGAGGAGGCGGAGGAGAAGGAGGAAGAAGGGGGCCCAAACAAACGUGUCCCACAACACACUUUGGCAGGAAGCAAUCCAGCGUGGGCUCCGUUUCAGCACAGGAAACUUCCUGCGGUAAGGUUAGAGAGCGACGCUGGGAGGUUUAUUAACAGUCAGAGAGGAGAAAAGGAAGAGUGGAAACGGAGAGGAAAGAGUGAUGAGAGCAGCAGCGGAUGGUGUGUGAGGACGGAGAAAAAAAUAAAGGCAGAUGAGAUAAAAUGGCAGGAACAAGAGGACUACACAGUGACAAACAGGAAGGGAAACAGAUACUCAGCCAGCACAGAGCAGGACAUCAUAUUCAGUCCUGAACUCCUGCUCUUCUGACUGUGUGUAGCCAAUCAGCAGCUAGUUCAGGCCCCUCAGCUCAAUCCCAGCAUCUCCCACCUGUGGGCUCUGACUCUACUGUCACUACCUGCUGUGAUGAGCCCGGUGCUUCGCUUCGGGGGGCUGACCAGGUCAAAACGCUGUGUUCACAUAAUAGACUGCUUUCAUGCAAGGGAAGAAGUGCAUCAAUGAUGCUCAAAUAUUUACUGUAUCGUAGAAGAAAAAUUCCUGCUAUUGCAACUAUUCCAUUAAUAUUUAACCCUGUCCAUAUUUAAAGUAAAUGACAGUGAUGUGAAAUGAUUAAAUGUGUUCAUGAA